rnacentral:lncRNA from 1 species
GGAGGGUAAGCGGGUGCACGAAAGGGUGGAGGACGCGUAACCCUGCUUCUAAGGGCUGCGGAAUGUCCAGGGCCUAAAAUGACCGAAUUCGGGGGCCAGUUGAAUUGACCUGUGAGAGUUAUUAGUUGUAUGAUCUUGGGCAACUGACUUAGAAUUUUCUAGAGGCCACUUUGGUGGAAAUAAGGAUAACCGCCUCAGGAGGACAGGCUUUGAGCUUAUUCAUACCUUCUUGACCUGCGGUGCUGGGGAUGAAUCCUAGGGCCUGGAGCACACUAGGCAAGCGCUCUACCAUGGAGCCGGAGUUUCAGCCCUGAAUCUGUUGACUUUCAAAUGGUACUCUGGGCCCGGGGAUGUAGCUCAGUGGUUCCGCCGCCUGCCAAGCAAGCGCAAGGUCCCGAGUUCGAUUCCGGUACCAAAAAAAGGUACUCUGGUGGUGCAUGCCUGUAGCCUCAGCUCUUCAGAAGGCUGAGGCAGGAUCACUGCAUGUUCAAGGCGAGCUAGACCUUGCGUCAGGAAACAAAAGGGUAGGGGGUUAGAAAUGACAGGGCAGCUUGCUUAGCAUGAUGGAGUCUCUCGGAUAAAGCCCUACUACUACAAAAAAGAAAAAAUCUAAGGUAGCAUACAGUCCAAACACGGGCAAAUGUUAAUGUAUGGGGAUCCUUGGGCACCUUGGAUGGCUCUUGACGCUGUUUUGGGGUCUCCAGUAGGUAACUACAUAGGAUUUAGGUAAAUCAGUGGCUCGGCAGCAGUUUGGGUUUGAGGUAUGGUGUCCUCCAUUGUUUUGGUGGCCCUUAUCGAAGCUGCAGCUGCUUCUGCGUAGUUGCUGCAGUCAAAAAGGAGCCCAGAGUAACAAUUUUCCUUGACGGUCGCCGUUCUGUUUGCUGUAACUGAUCUGCAACAUUUCGGGGAAAGACAGUUCGAUUGUGCCUGCCAUCCUGGGAUACCUGGAGGCCUUCCUUCAAACUGGCAUGUUUCGUGGAGAGUAGCUGUGCCAGAUGAAGACCCCAUGGAGGUUACAGUGAGGACUCGAGAUCGUGACAGUGAGGAGAUGCAAGCCUGACCUGGUUUCCUGGUGGCAUCUGAUACUGAAGAGAGCAUCAUCUAUGGAGCUGUGCCUUACUAAGUCUCACUCUAGACCAGGCCAGCUUCCAGUUUGCAGUCCCCUUCAGCUUUGAAAUGCUGGACAGGCACGAGACACCAUGCCCAGCUUCAUCUGUUACUAGAGUGGGAGAGACCAUGGGAAAGAAGACAGGCAAAAACAGGUUAUAGGUGCCAACAGUAAGUUCUGUAAGCAACAUUAUUUUGCUAUUGGUGUAUCUGGUAAACAUCUGUGACUAGAGAUUGACCAAUAAAGACUUUGGAACUGUC